GACUGAUCUGAAUGACAUAUUUGACACCCUUUUGGAGGCACUUAUCAGAUUGGCUGAAGGAAGCACUUUCACCAUGGACAAAUAAUCAGGAUCCAGGGUAUUUACAAAUAACUUAUUUCAUGAAUGAAGCCUACUCAUUAUGAAGAACAAGGUCAGGGGUGACCUAUUAUUGGGAUAUGGAGAAGGAAGUCAAGAUAAUUCCAUCAAUUCAUAUGCUACUCUGUACUCAUUAGAUAUUUAAAGAUUUUCAUUGUUAUUGCAUUUGACUAUUUGAAUAUGUAUGACUAGAAAAUUGUGUUAUGAAUCAAUGGUUGUUUGUUUUUAAUAAUAAUUCAAUUGCGUAAAUACUUACCAUAUGACAUGAAAGAUGUCACAAAUGAUAUUAGCGAUGAUUAUAAAUAGAUCCUAGUAUGUGUACGAUUUUACUUGCGACAUUUGACGAAUGUGUGAAAUGAAUUAAGAUAAAAUAUGACUUUUUACGACAUAAACACCAAACGUCGUAAAAAGAUGUCAAAUGAAAUAUGACUUUUUACGACGUUAACCAAACGUCGUAAAAAAUGUCAGAUAAAAUAUGACUUUUUACGACACCAACCAAACGUCAUAAAAAUAAUUUUUUGCGACGGAAAAAAAUGUCGCAAUACAAUGUCGUAAAAAAAUUAUGAAAUCCGACACCACUAUUUACGACGGACGCCGAAUGUCGCAAAUCCGUCGCAAUAACUUUUUUGCGACGGGAGACAAACGUCGCAAAAGCCUCUGGAGUAUUUGCUACGCGU